GCAAAACGCGAAGAACCUUACCUAGGCUUGACAUGCAUCUCUAAGCACGUGAAAGCGUGUGACCCUUCGGGGAAUUUGCACAGGUGCUGCAUGGCCGUCGUCAGCUCGUGUCGUGAGAUGUUGGGUUAAGUCCCGCAACGAGCGCAACCCUUGUGACUAGUUGCCAGCACGUUAUGGUGGGAAUUCUAGUCAGACUGCCCAGAUCAACUGGGAGGAAGGUGGGGACGACGUCAGGUCAGUAUGGCCCUUACGCCUAGGGCUGCACACGUACUACAAUGCCCAGCACAAUGAGAACCGAGACCGCGGGGUGGAGGAAAUCUAAAAAACUGGGCCCAGUUCGGAUUGGAGGCUGCAACUCGCCUCCAUGAAGUUGGAAUCGCUAGUAAUGGCGCAUCAUCUACGGCGCCGUGAAUACGUU
rnacentral:rRNA from 1 species